AGCAGCCGCGGUAAUUCCAGCUCCAAUAGCGUAUAUUAAAGUUGUUGCAGUUAAAAAGCUCGUAGUUGAAUUUCGGGGUCAGUAGGUUGGUCAUGCCUUCGGUAUGUACUGGUCUCACUGAUUCCUCCCUCUUGAAGAACUGUAAUGUCAUUAAUUUGGUGUUGCGGGGAAACAGGACUGUUACUUUGAAAAAAAUUGGAGUGUUUAAAGCAGGCUCACGCUUGAAUACAUUAGCAUGGAAUAAUGAAAUAGGACGAUCGAUCCUAUUUUGUUGGUUUCUAGGAUUGACGUAAUGAUUAAUAGGGAUAGUUGGGGGCAUUAGUAUUCAAUUGUCAGAGGUGAAAUUCUUGGAUUUAUUGAAGACUAACUACUGCGAAAGCAUUUGCCAAGGAUGUUUCAUUAAUCAAGAACGAAAGUUAGGGGAUCGAAAACGAUACAGAUACCGUCGUAGUCUUAACCAUAAACUAUGCCGACUAGGGAUCGGAUGAUGUUAAUUUUUAAUGACUCAUUCGGCGCCUUA
rnacentral:rRNA from 1 species